ensembl:lncRNA
GUGUAUUAUAAUCCUUAAUCUAUCUUAACUCAUUAAAAUGCAGUGUUCAGUUCUGCUGGCCAAAUUUUAUUGUCUCGUUGCAUUUUUAGUGAUAUGAGAGAAAUUUCAUGUGUAAUUGAAUAUUUAAAUGUCAGACACUGACGAGAAUCAUUGCAAAGUCCUGAAAUUACUGCCACAUAUAGGUAUAUAAUAUACUUAAGAAAAAAAGUUAGAUAAGAUGCAAAUCUAUAUUUGUCAGCAGAAUCGUCCUCUGUAACACACUGUGCCUCAGUUCUCUCUUUUCUUCUACCUCUUCUUCUUCUUGGAAAGUAACCAUUUUGUCCGACAUCUGACACACUGCCCUGGGUUAUUGAGCCAGACGUGGAAAUCCAAAGCGGAGAUGCUCUCCUUAAUGCCUGACACCUGGUGCAGAUUUGGAAGGGAUUGCACUACAGGUAUCAAGCCUCUGUUAGCUGGCCCCUGUGUUGGGAUUAAGUUCAGAAGGUGUUGAAAAAGGAUACCUAUCAUCCCUUUGAUAAAUAUGAUUCUGAUUUGUUCAGGGUAUGCUUUACAAGUGGACGCUACUCUGGAGUGUUGCAGCUCACCUUACCGCUUGCAGUCACAUCUGCAGACUGUGCUGGAGCAGAAUGGCUAGCGAACAUAAACACAGCAAGGACAUCAAAGGCCGGCAGGCUGCGUCCAGUUCUGUCACUGGUCCUUAGUGCUCCAGCAGCCUGGUCAAAAAGACAUCCUGGCAGGGUCCCAGGGUGGAUGCAUCGCCCACGCACGCUGCUCUUGCCAGAUCCCAGAAGUCUUUGUGGUGAACCACUGACCGUGCUGCUCCCUAUUUUCUUCCAACCCAGCAAAUAAUGUGUCAGAAAAAGAUUAUUGAUAGCCCAUAAAAGAAGAGGCAGAAUGUUGUUGCCACUCUGCUCCAACUUUAAGGAACAAUACAAGUGCUAAACCAUCAGUUUCAAUGGUGCACUGCUCCUGAAAGAGCACAGCAUUUAUUUUUCACAUUGUUGUUCAGUUUGAAUAAAAGGUGCUACAACUGGAACAUGAACAGACAACAAUUACUUCUAUUUUUUUUAAAUGCUGCUUCAUUUUCCUUUACAUUUGAAACCUUGUAGUGAAGUUGGCAACUUUGUACUGUGUCUAUUCAAAAGAAAAAUGAGAUCCCUCAAAAGAAACAUUGAAAUUUUCUCCAUGCUCUGUUGAGUCAUUCGCAUUUUUUGCCAACUUUACCAGACACUGGCGAAGCUGUUGCUCAUCUGGCCUAAAUGUGGCCUGAGUGGGUGAUUCUCAGACAGAUGAGGG